rnacentral:rRNA from 1 species
AAUGGGUCAGCGACUUAUAUUCUGUAGCAAGGUUAACCGAAUAGGGGAGCCGAAGGGAAACCGAGUCUUAACUGGGCGUUAAGUUGCAGGGUAUAGACCCGAAACCCGGUGAUCUAGCCAUGGGCAGGUUGAAGGUUGGGUAACACUAACUGGAGGACCGAACCGACUAAUGUUGAAAAAUUAGCGGAUGACUUGUGGCUGGGGGUGAAAGGCCAAUCAAACCGGGAGAUAGCUGGUUCUCCCCGAAAGCUAUUUAGGUAGCGCCUCGUGAAUUCAUCUCCGGGGGUAGAGCACUGUUUCGGCAAGGGGGUCAUCCCGACUUACCAACCCGAUGCAAACUGCGAAUACCGGAGAAUGUUAUCACGGGAGACACACGGCGGGUGCUAACGUCCGUCGUGAAGAGGGAAACAACCCAGACCGCCAGCUAAGGUCCCAAAGUCAUGGUUAAGUGGGAAACGAUGUGGGAAGGCCCAGACAGCCAGGAUGUUGGCUUAGAAGCAGCCAUCAUUUAAAGAAAGCGUAAUAGCUCACUGGUCGAGUCGGCCUGCGCGGAA